rnacentral:rRNA from 1 species
AUGACUUUAUGCCAAGCAAACGAGGUCAGGACUGAGGCAAGGCUCAUGUUGCAUCUGACAGGGGUGGCCGUAGAAGAAAGUGAGAGCGGCGACGAUGACUUUAUGCCAAGCAAAAAAGCUCAUAACAGAUCGAAGGGUUGUGAAAGCUCAAAGAAUGGUAGAUUAAAUCUCACCUUUGCAAGUGACAGUGAAGGGAUUGACAACCCCUUAAUCGCAUUGGGUGCAAGUGUUUGA